rnacentral:rRNA from 1 species
UACGGGGGGGGCAAGCGUUGUUCGGAAUUACUGGGCGUAAAGGGCUCGUAGGCGGCCAACUAAGUCAGACGUGAAAUCCCUCAGCUUAACUUGGGAACUGCAUCCGAUACUGGAUGGCUUGAAUCCGGGAGAGGGAUGCGGAAUUCCAGGUGUAGCGGUGAAAUGCGUAGAGAUGUGGAGGAACACCAGUGGCGAAGGCGACUCUUUGGCCUGUAACCGACGCUGAGGCGCGAAAAGCGUGGGGGAGCAAACGGGG